ensembl:lncRNA
CAUUGAACUGGACUGAGCUGCAGAGGCUGGGACCAGAUCUGUACAUUUUUUUCCACUCACUCGGUAUAUAGCAGUGUUGUGAAUGAAAGCCUAAUGAGAGUAGUUAUAAUGAAUUCUUGGUUUUUAUCUUAUCCAUACAAAAGAAUUCUUAAUAUGCCCCUCUGGCCCAGAAAUUCUAAUAGAAUGAAUGAUAUUUGAGGCAGCAAGCAUGUAGGAUGCUCAGGCCUAAAUGUAUUUUGGCAUACUGGGUAGCAUCCUCUGAUACCUUUUGAUAAUGAGGUUGAAUAUUCUGAAGCCAUGUACUGCUUUUAUCUCCAAAUGCUAGACUUCAUGUUUAAACUGGAGCCACCAGAUUUUACUACUAUAAUUGUUUUCUUUAUCUUCCCCCUUUUGUCCCAUAUUUUUAUAUAUGUGUGAAAAAUCUAAAUAAUAAAUGUAGAAAUCCCAUUCUUAUGUAGAUCAAAGAUGGAAAUACUCAAAAGGGUAAAUCUGUUAUGCUCUUCCAUAUACUUUUGGCUGGCUACCAUUCCAGGCACUUGUAAACUUAGUCUGUCACUUUAAAAGUUGGAAUAAGUAGAAGAGAUAAGGAGAAGAUGACAGAAGAUGCUUGUCAAGAGGGUAAUGAUUUUGGGGAAUACUGAGUAAAUCAUUUCUUAUUGAAAUUCAUUUCCUGAUUGCCCUCUUUUGAGUCAUAACCUGAGCUGGUCUUUUUUCAUUUGGGGAGAAGGGAGAGCAGGUUUUUUAGUAAGUUGAGUAACAAUAACACAAUAGAAAUAGGAUAAAGACCCAGGGAUACCUAGAAAGCUUUUCUAUUUACAGUGAUCACUGUUAUGUAAGAGGAACAGAUGGUGGGAACUCUCAGCACACUGACUCACUACCCCAAAGUUGACUGCAUAAGGUCAGAGGUAUUCAGUUGAGCUGCUGAAAGAAUCUCUGUGCCUUGUACAAUGUUGUCAUGAACAUUUUGUCUCACUGUAAACUACAUUUAAAUCAAUAGCAGGUUGGUGCCUGAUAUGCCAUAUUCUGAUGACCUUUGUAUCGGCAUGUUUCCUUCUCCCCUCCUAAUCUUAUACUUUAGUGCAUCGACCACCCACUGGUUUCACUCAUAUAGAAGGAAGAAAAGUGCAGCACAAAUGAGAGAAAAAAGCUACUGUUACAUAGUUUCUUACUUCAUAUUAUCAACCUCAGGUAUCUAGGAUACAAAAUAAUGCUUUGAAGUUCAUCCAUUGGAAAACCAAUAUUGGUGUGCAUGUAAUAUCUGGAAAUGCUUUUCAAAUUUGAUUAAUCUUUUUUUUCCAAAACUAUAUGAUUGUUGAAACCUUUCUUACGUUCAUUUUAUGACUGACAUUUUUACAUUAUCAAGGCAUGGGCUUUGGGAUACUUUUAAUUCCCGCUUAUAUAAUUUGGCAAGUAAAAUCUUAGGCUCCCUGUCUAAUAAGAAAACUAACUUCACUGUGGGAAUAAACAGUGUUUGUAAUCUAAUGUGCUGGCUACACUUUUUAAGGGCUUUUUAGUCCCCUUAGCUAAAAAGGUGCUAUUUUUUUUUAAUAGCAAAUGUGUUAGUGUUCCAAUUUUGUACAUGUGGAUAAUAUUAGUGAAUUUCUGUGUUUCAUCUGCAUUUAAAAGCCAAACAUCAUCUUUUAUUAAACUUAUACAUACAGGAG